rnacentral:RNase_P_RNA from 1 species
CGAAGCCGGUGAGCAGGUGCCGGGCCGAAAGGCCUGAGGAAACUCCCUCCUCUGCGCGGACGUUGUGGCGCCGCGAGGCGCAAGGGGAGACCCUUGGCAACGGAACAGAAACGGCACUCGCUUCAACGGAUGUGGAUGAUUCGGCUGCGAAGCUGAUGACGAAGUUGAAAGCAGAGGUGAAACGGCCGUCCCACAAAGAGCAAGGCCAAACAGGGCCCGAUGACCACGUCCUCGCGAGGGCCGGGUAGGCCGCAUAGUCGAAUCCUGCUUAAAACAAAAGAGGGGUUACGGCCGGGAUCG